rnacentral:lncRNA from 1 species
UGGAGGACCACCUUCUCAACAAACUGGAUUCCUGGUUCACAGCAACUUGCCAACGUUGUUGCAAGGAAAACAGUGUGCCUUGCCCGAAUGCCACACCUCCAAAUAUUGGUGCAGAUGACAGUGGAGCAGCAGUACUUGCUUCCCAAA